GCCCAGGGUAACACAGAUUAUCAGUUAAUAAUUAAUACUGUGGAGGCAGGAGACUCAGCAGUGUAUUACUGUGCCACAUGGGACAGCUCAGCUAGUGCAGCUGUAUCACAGUGAUUCACACUGUGACAAAAACCCCUGAGCUUCACUUCUGCUUUAAAGCUCCUUCUACAACCCAGUAGAAGAGUUUUCUGCAGCUGAGAAAGGAUCUCUUAGUCCUGGAAUCAAUUUCAUUAUCAGACUACUGAGAAUGCUUAAUAGUAUCUAUUCCCUAAUAUGCGUAUAGUACGUUCUACAUAUUAAAAUUAAAUCCAAUCUCAGUCAUGUAUAUCUGCAACAAACCAUGUGUGGAACAAUCCUUGUUACAACGUUAGUCAAGAUUAUGCAUAUUUCUGCAACUCUGUCUGUUCAUAUUUCAAGCCUGAUUGACAUAUUGCAGGACUGAUAAUGAAGUGCAGUUAUAAAAGGGAGUGUAUAAUGCAACUGAGACUGGUGUAAGCAAAAUUAUAUUCAAUAUUAUUAAAUUAUUCCCAUGCACACAG